rnacentral:rRNA from 1 species
GACGAACGCUGGCGGCGUGCUUAACACAUGCCAGUCGAACGGAAAGGCCCUGCUUUUGUGGGGUGCUCGAGUGGCGAACGGGUGAGUAACACGUGAGUAACCUGCCCUUGACUUUGGGAUAACUUCAGGAAACUGGGGCUAAUACCGGAUAGGAGCUCCUGCUGCAUGGUGGGGGUUGGAAAGUUUCGGCGGUUGGGGAUGGACUCGCGGCUUAUCAGCUUGUUGGUGGGGUAGUGGCUUACCAAGGCUUUGACGGGUAGCCGGCCUGAGAGGGUGACCGGCCACAUUGGGACUGAGAUACGGCCCAGACUCCUACGGGAGGCAGCAGUGGGGAAUAUUGCACAAUGGGCCGAAGCCUGAUGCAGCAACGCCGCGUGCGGGAUGACGGCCUUCGGGUUGUAAACCGCUUUCGCCUGUGACGAAGCGUGAGUGACGGUAAUGGGUAAAGAAGCACCGGCUAACUACGUG